GGGUCUUUAGCUCAGCAGUAGAGCGGCAGACUUCGGUUUCGUUCGAAGAUCCUUCUAGGUUUUCUGCAGGUCGCGGGUUCAAUCCCCGUAGGACUCU